UCCGUCCACAGAGGUAUUGCUAGUGUGGCUGCUGUUAUAUGUGCAUCAGUAGGUAGCAGAGAGGAGAAAGCUUAUGUCUACACUCAGUGUUUUAACCUAUGGACAUCUGAAUGAUUAAUUGUCUAACAGU